UGUGAUUGUAAGCCCAUUUUUUCUCUUCCUUGGACGACACUGGCAUCAGGAUAUUCCUUCGUUAGCUGCUGAAGCUGCAAAAGAACACCCUGAUGUGUCAUAUAUCGUUACUGCACCUCUUGGUCUGCAUGAUCUACUUGUGGUGCCUUGAUAAAGCCGCUAUAGUGUCAGAUGCUGAGAGCAAAAGUGAGGAAUUCUCCAAUCCAUGGAGGCUUUGCACUGUAACACAGGUGGAAGAAUUGAAGAUUGUGAUCCGCAUGUUUCCAAUCUGGGCUACUGGAAUUGUCUUUUCUGUUGUUUAUGCCCAGAUGUGUACAAUGUUUGUGGAGCAAGGAAUGAUGAUGGACACAAGCAUUGGUUCUUUCACCAUUCCCGCAGCCUCUCUCUCAUCCUUUGAUGUCAUCAGUUUUAUUUUUUGGGUCCCCAUGUAGAUAGGGUAAUUAUUCCAAUUGCAAGGAAAUUUUUU